rnacentral:rRNA from 1 species
AUGUAUGACGAAUAUAUAACUUGUUGGGUGUUUGUGUUUUUUCAGAAGCUAAUGGCGGAGGCCAUACUCCUUGCUGUGUCGAAGAUUGGGACAGUCGUUUUGAAUGAAAUAGUCUCGGAUGUGGUACAGAAGCUAUCGAGGAAGCUUGAUGCUCUAAAGGAAUUGCCAGCAAAGGUCCAAAGAAUCGAGAUAGAAUUGAAUACAAUGAAUGAUAUAAUCCAAGAUUUGGGUUCAACAAAUCUCAACAACAAUGUCAUCAAGGGUUGGAUUGGAAACGUAAGGAAGCUGGCCUACCGUGUCGAGGAUGUAAUUGAUAAGUACUCGUAUGAGGCUCUUAAGCUCAAGGACGAAGGCUUCCUACAUCGUUACAUCAUCACCGGUUCACGCCAUGUUAAGGUGGAAGAUCUUGCAGCUCUUGCUCAGCCGAAGCGUCGCCUUGUACUCCAGCCAUUGGGUAGCACUGAGUCAUUCAAGCUAUUUUGCUCAAGGGCUUUCCACAGCAACCUGAACCGUGAGUGCCCUAUGGAGCUCAAGACGGUGGCUACAAAAGUUGUUGAGAGGUGUCGUGGCCCAUUAGCCAUUGUAUCUUCUGGCAGCCUAUUGUCCACGAAGCAACCAACAGAGCAUGCCUGGAAUCACAUGUUCAAUCAUCUCCGUAGCGAGUUGCGGGGGGAUAACCAUGUCCAACCUAUACUUGAUCUGAGCUACCAUGACUUGCCAGGCAAUCUAAGGAACUGCUUCCUGUACUGCAGCUUGUUCCCUGAAGACUAUGCAAUUUCACGGGAGAGCCUUGUGCGUUUGUGGGUUGCCGAAGGGUUUGCGGUGAAGAAAGAAAACAGCACACCAGAGGAAGUGGCUGAGGGAAAUCUUAUGGAGCUCAUUGGGAGGAACAUGUUGGAAGUUGUGGAAAGGGAUGAGCUCUUAAGGGUUAGUACAUGUAAGAUGCAUGACCUUGUUCGUGACCUGGCUCUUGCUGUGGCUAAAGAGGAGAGGUUUGGCUCUGCGAAUGACCCCAAAGAAAUGAUUCGCAUGGAUAAAGAAGUUCGUCGGUUCUCGACAUGUGGUUGGACAGACAGUAAAGCAAUAGUGGGAGUGAAAUUUCCACGACUCCGUACCAUCAUGUCACUUGCUACAGCUUCGCCCUGUACUAACAUGCUUUCCUCAGUUUUGUCUGGAUCCAGCUACCUUACUGUUCUCGAGCUUCAAGACUCUGCAAUAACCCAAGUGCCAGCAUCCAUCGGGGAUUUGUUCAAUCUACGCUACAUCGGCUUAAGGCGUACCAAUAUCCAGUCACUGCCACACACCAUUGAUAAGCUCUCAAACCUUGAGACACUGGACAUCAAGCAAACAAAAGUGGAAAAGCUACCACCAGGAAUUGUAAAUAUUGAGAAGCUACGGCACCUUUUAGCUGACAGGUUUGCUGAUGAGAAGCAGACGGAGUUCCGAUACUUUGUCGGAGUCGAAGCGCCUCACAUGAUUUCCAACUUUCAAGAGCUGCAAACUCUUGAGACCAUCCAUGCCAGCAAAGACUUGUCACUACAGCUGCAGACAGUUUGGGUUGAUAACAUCAAUGCAUCUAACUGUGAUGACCUAUUGAAAACCCUCUCAGAUAUGCCCCUACUUUCCAGCCUACUUCUCUCUGCGUGUGAUCAGAAUGAGACACUUAGUUUCCAAGCACUCAAGCCAAUUUCCACAAAUCUCCACAGGCUAAUAAUCAGAGGCGGCUGGGCUGAUGGUACACUCAAGUGCCCAAUAUUUCAGGGCCAUGGGAAGAGUCUCAAGUACUUGGCUCUAAGUUGGUGCAAUCUUGGGAUAGAAGACCCGCUGCAGUUGUUGGCAUCUCAUCUUCCAGAUCUCACUUAUCUCAGUCUUAACAGGGUGAGUAGUGCAGGUAUAUUGGUCCUUUCUGCAGGGUGCUUUCCGAAGCUGAAGACACUCGUCUUGAAGCGCAUGCCUAAUGUCAAGCAACUGGAGAUUAAAAAAGGCGCCAUUCCGGCCAUUGACGGGAUCUACAUUGUGUCACUCUCCAAGCUGAACAUGGUCCCUCAUGGCAUUGAAUCCCUUGAAACCCUCAAGAAGCUCUGGAUGUUGGAUCUGCACAAGGACUUCAAGGCUCAGUGGAAUCUAAACCAGAUGCACAACAAGAUGAAGCAUGUUCCUGAGCUCCGUGUCUAG